rnacentral:misc_RNA from 1 species
AACGCAAAUUGCGCUCUUGGGUAGCCCUAGGAGCACGCCUCUCUCAGUAUCGGUUCAACCCUCUCUCAGCAGCGCUAUUGCAAAAUAGUCGCGUUGGCUGGAUAAUGAGAGUCUGCGUGCCAGCCACGCAGUCUCUUGAAGUACAUGGAGUUAAUGAAUGCGACUAACGAUCAGCUUUCGCCUCUCGGGGUGAGUAUAGUUGAAUUUCGACUGUUGUUCGGUAGUGACGUGAAUAUUGGCCCUUGUGGUCUAACUUUUACGUGUAUCUGCCGCAAUGAUAAUUAAAAGUUGGAAUUAAAUGAACGAUCGAACUAGCUGUAUUUUAACGCGAGUAAACCAUAUGAUUUUUGAGCAAUCAGAAGUCUGAAUUUUGAUCUGAGAUGAAGCGAGACAACCCCCUGAAUUUAA